rnacentral:misc_RNA from 1 species
GGUGGGAGAAGGAAUGUUCUCUGGAGAAAUCUGUAUGAUAGAAUAGUGAAGGUAACUGGCCUGAACUACAGCUCUUGAGCCAUCUGGUUUCACCUUCAGGGAG